GUCCAGGUGGCGCAAAGCAGAGCGCUGCAGGUUGUUGUCCCUGCAGGCCAGAGUUCGAGUCCCGGCAAUGGACA